AGUGAGGCGAUGGCAUUUUCUUCUUUUCGCAGAUCGAAUGAAUGGAUUUUUUCUUUCUCUCUUUCCAGAUCACACAGCAGGAGGGAGCGCCCAAGGCUCGCAGCUCUCACGCGGUGGCUGUGGUGGGAUCCAAGGCCUAUGUGUUUGGCGGCGAGUUUGAGCCUCGCGUUCCCAUCGAUAACAAGGUCCAUGUCUUUGAUCUUCGCCAGAGGAGCUGGGCAGUGGCGGAGUCGCGGGGAGAAAUCCCCAGCGCCAGAGUUGGCGUCGCAAUGACCGCCGCUGGCAACACCAUCUUCGUGUUUGGAGGUCGGGACGAGCAGCACCAGGAACUUAACGAGUUCUUCUCGUUUGAUACCGUGACCGGCGAGUGGAGGCUCUUGUCAGCCGAAGAGACGAGUCCUCCUCACAGGUUUGCAUAUCUUUUCUUUUCUCGAUUCACGACUUCUCGCUCGAUUGCCUGCCAGGAGCUAUCACACUUUAGCGGCGGACAAACAAGGCGAAAACAUCUAUACCUUUGGAGGUUGCGGAAAAGCUGGCCGUUUGAACGAUCUCUGGGUGUUUAACAUCGAGUCGAGCACCUGGAAGAAACUCCCGGAGUCGUCGACCCUGGCACCGAGAGGAGGUCC
rnacentral:lncRNA from 1 species